AGUGAACGCUGGCGGUAGGCCUAACACAUGCAAGUCGAACGGCACCACAGGAGAGCUUGCUCUCUGGGUGGCGAGUGGCGGACGGGUGAGGAAUACAUCGGAAUCUACUUUUUCGUGGGGGAUAACGUAGGGAAACUUACGCUAAUACCGCAUACGACCUACGGGUGAAAGCAGGGGACCUUCGGGCCUUGCGCGAUUGAAUGAGCCGAUGUCGGAUUAGCUAGUUGGCGGGGUAAAGGCCCACCAAGGCGACGAUCCGUAGCUGGUCUGAGAGGAUGAUCAGCCACACUGGAACUGAGACACGGUCCAGACUCCUACGGGAGGCAGCAGUGGGGAAUAUUGGACAAUGGGCGCAAGCCUGAUCCAGCCAUACCGCGUGGGUGAAGAAGGCCUUCGGGUUGUAAAGCCCUUUUGUUGGGAAAGAAAUCCAGCUGGCUAAUACCCGGUUGGGAUGACGGUACCCAAAGAAUAAGCACCGGCUAACUUCGUGCCAGCAGCCGCCGUAA
rnacentral:rRNA from 1 species